rnacentral:pre_miRNA from 1 species
UUUGUACUCCCUCCGUCCCAAAAUUCUUGUCUUAAAUUUGUCUAAAUACGGAUGUAUCUAGUUACAUUUUAGUGUUAGAUACAUCCUUAUCUAAACAAAUGUAAGACAAGAAUUUUGGGACGGAGGGAAUACUAC